rnacentral:ncRNA from 1 species
GCAAGAUGCAGCUUAAAAUAAAUGGUAGUUAUACCCCGCAUGAUUAACUACAGGAUUUAACAUUCAGGGGGCGGACUCUUCCCCCUGGGUGUAUGCCU